AUGUGGCACUUUUCGGAUUUUGAGAUUUAAACAAGUCUAACUUUGACUGUAAAUUUUUCAUAGAUCUUUUAAACAUUUUGAAUUAUCAAUAUUUGUGAAUUAUAGUACUUUUUACGUAGUUUACAAAUAUACAAAUUUUAUUUCAAAAAAAAUUGAUCAUUUCAUGCGUAAAUUUCUAGCCAAACUUAAACUGUUUGACUCUCGAAAAAUGAAAAGUGCCACAUAA
rfam:Solanum tuberosum cultivar DM 1-3 516 R44 scf00143_72, whole genome shotgun sequence.